GGAUGUGAGGGCAGUCUGGCUGCGACCUCUGUCACCCCAUUGAUCGCCAGGGUUGAUUCGACUGAUCUGGCUGGCUAGGCGGGUGUCCCCUUCCUCCCUCACCACUCCAUGUGCGUCCCUCCCAAAACUGCGCACGGUCGAAGAGGACGACCUUCCCCGAUAGAGGAGAGGACCAUUCUUCAGUCAAGGGUAUACAAGUAGCUGCGCUCCCCUGCUAGAACCUCCAAACAAGCUCUCUUAAUUUAAUGUAAUUUAAUUUUUCUUCAGUGUUCCAAAACCCAUUGUGUAUGCAACAUACCCAGU
rnacentral:snRNA from 1 species